UGAUGGGUCCCAGGGCGUGCUCUGUGCACUGGACCAGGGUGUCCCUGUCUGUGGCCCCACCUGGCACAGGAAUGCCAGGCUCAUGCUUUUCAGAAAGUUGAUCCAGUGCAGCGUAAUUCCUGCUCCAGCCAGGGCAGCACCAGGUCGAGGAUGUCUCAUCCGAUCCUGAAAAGUGCUGCCCAAACCUUUGGCAGGAGGCCGCCCACUCUCUCCUGCUCUUUGGCCAUCUGCUCAGGGGACGGUGGAGGGGGUCUCCCCGCACGGGGACCCGGAUGUUCUGCAUGGCCCUACUGCACAGCAGGCAGCUGUCUCUCAGCCUUGCCCACUGAUGAAUGCAGGCAGUGCAGAACAUGUGAUUACACAGAAUCACGUAGGCACUGUCCUGUUGCACAUCACUGCAGAUGGAACAUUUCCAUGCCUCUUCUGUGGCCAUGGUCUUCUCACUGCAGCAGGCUGGGAGAACUGAGGAUGACAAGUUGUUCUCCUUCUCUGGAGAUGCGGUGGUGGUGUCUCACUGUGAAGAGGAACGGAGGUCACAGUCACUCGCUGUCCCAGGGUGUGAAAAUCCUCAGCAGAUCCCUCCCAGGCCCAUUACUGGGCCAUCUCGUGCUUCCCACUGGCACAGGGCCAGGCACUGCACAGUUGCCCUGAGGGACCCAGGUGUCCCUGCACCACUCACCUCCGCUGCUGCGGGUGUGCUCAGUAGGGUCCCGGCUGCCUGCACAAGGCAGGGCUGGGAAACAGAAGUGAUACUGCAGUGUAAGGCACUGAGAUGCUGCGAGCAGCCCCAGGCUCGACCCAGCACAGCCAAAACCUUGCUCAACCUCCAAGCCUCGCAGAGCUGCUCAGCAGGGUCCAGAAACAAGCCAGACUGAGCCAGGCUCUGCCAGCACCCCACUAUGAGCAGUGAGGGCUAUGCAGUCACAGUCCGUCACCCGGUGAUGUCAUAGCCUGUUGCUCGGGGACAUCGCCAUGGGCUGUCCACCUCCACAGCACCCAUCCCUGAAUUUUAAGUUUAUAUUCACAGUUUCAAUAACUACUGAAGUUUUAGGCAUGGAGAGCAAUAGACUUGUGAUACAAAGAAGGAUUCUUUGAUCUUAAAAAUAUGAUCAUGUACAGAAAAUGUUACAGUGUUCAGGAGCCUGCUUACGGGUUUUGGAAACUUCAGUGGAUCACAUACAGAAAGUCAAAAUAUUAAAACAUGGUUCUCAGAUAUCAAUGUGCAUCGGUCAGUACAGUCUUUAGAAACACUCAGAGGAAUAUCAGUAGUGAAUCUGUGUAGAAAAAUAAGGUCUAUUGUUAAAUGUUAGGGAAAAAAAACCAACCAAAACCUGAAUGAUCUGAACCUACUGGUGCAGAGAGGGAUUGAGGAAGACACUGUACAGAAACAAUCCCUUUUGCCAUUUCACCACCUAUAUAUUUUCCGAGCAAGCAUUAGUUUCUCUGUAUUGUGAGAACUCCAUCGGCACAGCCUGCAUGACAUUGAAUACAGCUCCAGGUUUUUUUUUGUUUUGUUUUUGUUUUUUUGGUUUUUUUUGCUAUAUUUUUCAGCUUUAUUUCAAGGAUUUAAGUUGAACAGUACUCUUUGCCACCAUUUUGGUUUUAUUUUUUCUUUUAUGGAUUACUCACUGUUUCCUAGGCUGUGAACCUUUAACCUCAUCAGUUUCUUCCAGUUACUAUACCAGCUAGAACAAAACAGUUUAUUUUUGUUUCAAGCACUGUGCAAUUAUCAUCUGCAAGCAUGCAUGUGAACACAAGCAAGCCACACAAAGGAAUAAAUAAGCCAUUUAUUAUAUACAGUAACAGUCUGAUUUAUCAAAAGCACGUGCACUGGCUAUGUUACAGAUAUAUGAAGCAGAAAGCUUGAGCAGAACUUCCUUGAGGGCUACUGAAGAGCUUCUGGUAGCAGAGAACUGGCGUCACAACUGUCCUUAUAUCCUGGCAGUAUCAAGUUUGUUACAUGACUAGCACAUUCGUUCAGUCAUGUAAGACAAUAAGGAACUUAAUUCAUUUUAUAUGGGCUAGACUUCUUUCCCAUCUGAAUCUUGCUGAUACUCAAGGCAAAAUAUCACCAGCAAAUCAAAGGAGAUGAUCUUUACCAUCUACUCAGUGUUGAUGAGGCUGCACCUACAGUCCUGGUCCAGUACUGGGCUCCUCAAAGCAAGAGGGACAUUGGCUUUCUGGAACAAGUCCAGUGUAGACCCAUCAAGAUGCUUCAAGGCCUGGGGAACCUCUCCUUUGAGGAGUGGCUGAGAGAGCUGAGAGUUGGAACUGCUCCAUCUGGAGAAGAGGAGGUUCAAGGGGAUCUCAUCCAUGUCCAUAAAUACUUGAAGAGAGAGUGUAAAGAAGAUGGAGUCAGGCCCUUGUCAGUGAUGCCCAGUGUCUGGACAAAUGUGGUGGACACAAACACACAAACCCUAGAGGUUCCCUCUGCACAUCAGCAAGCACUUCUGUGCUGUGUGGAUGAUAGCCAGGGCACAGGUUGCUCAGAAAGGUGGUGGAGUCUUCUCCUUAGAGACCUGGUACCUGAAUGUAGUGUUAGAUCACAUGACCCCCAGAGGUCCCUUCUGACCUCAACCAUUCUGUGAUUAUGUUUCUGUGUUAUGUGGCUCAUGACUUAAUUUCCUGAUGUGUUAUGGGGCAGUGGGAGAUGUAUUAAAAAAGUAGCAAAACCAUGGCUAGGCACUAUAAAUUUUCAGACUGUUUCUGGAAUUUCUUGAUGUCCUGGACAAACUAGCAUCUAAAAAAUAAUUCCCAAGAUCAGUGAAAAAAAUUUCACAAGCUAGAGUGGACACUUGCAGAGCCUGCACUUGGCCAGUGCUAAGUAACACAUACACAGGCUGUUUCAUGUCCAGGAAAUCUUAACUGACUGAGAAAGAUAUAGCCAUAAUACUUCUUUCCUUUCUCUAUCUGGUUAUAAACACUAAAAUUUUAGACACUCAAUACCUCUGAGACUAUCUUCAUGUCAAAUGCAGUUGAAAUCCACAGUGUUUUUAAGAAAAUGCAAUUGGUUGAAGAGAUCCGCUUUUUUUUUUUUUUUUUUUUUGCAAGCACAGUAUAAACUGCAUUGUUGUAUUAGAAAUUAAACAUCGUAAAAUAUAACCCUGCCAAUUUCAGCUGACACACAGAAGUUAUUUGGUGUUUCUAUUUAUUUUCUAAGAAAACAAAACUGAUUUAGAAUAACAUAGUGUCAGGAAAAACAAACCGGUCUUACAGGGUUUGUAUAGAUGUUUACUGGAGCACAUUUUUAAGCAAUUAAGAUAUAAUAAAUGAAAAAAAAAAAGAGAGGAAAAAAAAAACAACCUUGAAAGUAUUUCUAAGAGCCUUUUUCCUGUGCCAAAUUUAUUUUACACAUUGCACUCUUCAAGUUUUUACUAGAGAUACACUCAACUGAACAAAAUCUGUCUUAAAAAUGUCUCUGUAAAGGGAUUCAUCCAGAAAGAAUCAGAAUUCCAACUUUAUAUAAUUGGUUUAAUAAGAUUUUGAACUUUAGGCUGCCACUGGCUUUUUCUCCAGCUUACAAUGUUAACGACUUUAUUAUGAUGGAUGAUGAACACACAUCUCUCUGAUAGUAUGUAUUAUUUGCUUAUGGCAAUCUUCAGGAAUAGCUCAUACUAACAUACAUACUUACUAGUCAAAAAUGAUGUUAUCAGAGGUCCCACUCAAUACGAAAAAUAAAUAAGCAAACAAAUGAACAACAAAUAUUCUAAAUAUAAGCCAAACAUUUUGUCUAUCAGGCUAGUUAUUAACUAGUGUGAUAACUUCACACAAACAAAAGAGGUGAGUUACAGACAUUAAUCAUAUCUUAUGAUUAAUAUACAAAUAUGACUGUACUAAGAUUAUCUCUGAUAACAGAAAUAAGUAAUAUUCAUUACUAACAUUUUGAGUUCACAAUUCAGUAUAAUCUUCCAUCCUUGUUAAACAAUAGAUUGUCAAAAUAAUGUAUCUUGUAAACUAGUGUUGUUGGCAUUGGUUCAUUGUUCAUGUAGACAUCAGUUACAGUAUACCAAAUUCUAGCCAUAGCCCAAUAUACUAAACAUAGCCAACUGCGUUUCUUUUCCUGAAUUGUUCAGUUUCUCUGCACAGUGCUUCCAACAGAUUGCUAUAAUUUAAUAUUCAUAAUUUUCAUUGAGUUUUAAUGUUAAAAUCUUAAACAGCAGUAUUAAAGAAGCUCAUAAAAAUGACUCAUCUCCAGCAGCUUUCUUCCACGUUGCCCUCCUCCCCAUAAAAAGAAUACACAUAAAGUUCUCACUCAGAGCCUAAGAACCACUUCUUACAAAUUGCUGGGAAAGAUAAAAAUCAAUAUAUUAGAGGUUUAGGGGAUUAUUUAUGCCUAGGAUUGCAGCAUCUGAUGCACGGACUCAGAUGUGAAGAAUCCAAACCCUUUAUUACAAGUUCUCACAUCACUUAUAUACCCUCACAGGUUUUCUUUUUCUAGCUUUCCCAUCUGCCCCUACAACUUUCCCAUUCACCUUUACAUGUCAACAAAGCAUUCUACAAACACUCUUCAACCGUUCAUGCGGGUGCUUAUCCAAUCAGAGCUGUGAGCCAUUCUUUCUUAUUUUAGAGGUGUCCUUGGUUCUCAUGCUGUUUAUCUUGCUACACAGCUGAUGCUCUGAACAGUUUUUCUUGUAUUCCCACAUAGGAUGAUUACCAUUAGAAAAAACAGUAGAAUAUUUUUUUUUCCCCAAUUGAAUGUGACAUGUAUUCAGUACAGUUACGUAUUUAAAUUUCUAUUGAAAC
ensembl:lncRNA